AAUAGAUACCCUGGUAGUCCACGCCGUAAACGGUGGGUGCUAGGUGUGGGGAACUUUCCACGUUCUCCCGUGCCGCAGCUAACGCAUUAAACACCCCGCCUGGGGAGUACGGCCGCAAGGCUAAAACUCAAAGGAAUUGACGGGGGGCCCGCACAAGCGGCGGAGCAUGCGGUUUAAUUCGAUGCAACGCGAAGAACCUUACCAAGGCUUGACAUAUAGGGAAAUCCGGCAGAGAUGUCGGGUCCGCAAGGGUCCUAUACAGGUGGUGCAUGGCUGUCGUCAGCUCGUGUCGUGAGAUGUUGGGUUAAGUCCCGCAACGAGCGCAACCCUCGUUCUAUGUUGCCAGCGGAUAAUGCCGGGGACUCAUAGGAGACUGCCGGGGUCAACUCGGAGGAAGGUGGGGACGACGUCAAGUCAUCAUGCCCCUUAUGGUCUUGGGCUACACGCAUGCUACAAUGGCCGGUACAAAGGGCUGCGAUACCGUAAGGUGGAGCGAAUCCCAUAAAGCCGGUCUCAGUUCGGAUCGGGGUCUGCAACUCGACCCCGUGU
rnacentral:rRNA from 1 species